UUGACCUCGGAUCAGGUAGGAAUACCCGCUGAACUUAAGCAUAUCAAUAAGCGGAGGAAAAGAAACCAACAGGGAUUGCCCUAGUAACGGCGAGUGAAGCGGCAACAGCUCAAAUUUGAAAUCUGGCCCCAGGCCCGAGUUGUAAUUUGCAGAGGAUGCUUCGGGCACGGCGCCUUCCAAGUCCCCUGGAACGGGGCGCCAGAGAGGGUGAGAGCCCCGUACUGUCGGACGCCACGCCUAUGUGAAGCUCCUUCGACGAGUCGAGUAGUUUGGGAAUGCUGCUCAAAAUGGGAGGUAGACCCCUUCUAAAGCUAAAUACCGGCCAGAGACCGAUAGCGCACAAGUAGAGUGAUCGAAAGAUGAAAAGCACUUUGAAAAGAGGGUUAAACAGCACGUGAAAUUGUUGAAAGGGAAGCGCUUGUGACCAGACUUGCGCCGUCGUGAUCAUCUGGUGUUCUCGCCAGUGCACUCGCUUCGGCUCAGGCCAGCGUCGGUUCGUGCGGGGGGAUAAAGGCUCUGGGAACGUGGCUCCCCCGGGAGUGUUAUAGCCCUCUGCGUCAUACCCCCGCUAGGACCGAGGUUCGCGCUCUGCAAGGACGCUGGCAUAAUGGUUACUAGCGACCCGUCUUGAAACACGGACCAAGGAGUCGAGGUUUUGCGCGAGUGUUUGGGUGCAAAACCCGCACGCGUAAUGAAAGUGAACGCAGGUGGGAGCUUCGGCGCACCACCGACCGAUCCAGAUGUUCUCGGAUGGAUUUGAGUAGGAGCGUAGGGCCUCGGACCCGAAAGAUGGUGAACUAUGCUUGGAUAGGGUGAAGUCAGAGGAAACUCUGAUGGAGGCUCGCAGCGGUUCUGACGUGCAAAUCGAUCGUCAAAUCUGAGCAUGGGGGCGAAAGACUAAUCGAACCAUCUAGUAGCUGGUUACCGCCGAAGUUUCCCUCAGGAUAGCAGUGUUGUCUUCAGUUUUAUGAGGUAAAGCGAAUGAUUAGGGACUCGGGGGCGCCAUAUUGCCUUCAUCCAUUCUCAAACUUUAAAUAUGUAAGAAGCCCUUGUUACUUAACUGAACGUGGGCACUCGAAUGUAUCAACACUAGUGGGCCAUUUUUGGUAAGCAGAACUGGCG
rnacentral:rRNA from 1 species